rnacentral:tRNA from 1 species
GCCCGGAUGGUGGAACUGGUAGACACAAGGGACUUAAAAUCCCUCGGCUUUGCGGCCAUGCCGGUUCGAUUCCGGCUCCGGGCACCA